CGCCCGGUCACCGUUGGCAUCACCCUGAAAACAGCCAUUCGGCCGUGUCAAAUGAAUGGCAGGCAUAGGGACCGCGUGGAACAGGGAGGUGACCUAAACUCAUAGCCGCCAGGGUAUCACUCUCUCCGGAACCUAUUCUCAUCAUUCCCUAUACCGUCUCAACUUAAAUGUCGCUGCAUUCACCUGUGUUUCAGCAUUGUGGAAGACUGAUGACCUUCCACGACCACAGAUGCGGAGUGGGAGUGUUGAUCCACAAGCCUGAAAGACCAAGAAAAAAAAAAAAAAAAAAACAGAGCAGGGAGUAUGGGAGUCUGCUUUAAAGGGAAAACUUUGGAGAUGCGAUAUCCAUUAAAAAGAGUGCUUUCAGACAGGGGAUCGCAGGAAGAGUGUCUUCAAGCUGGUGGGAGAGUGAUCUAAGGGAUCCUGAAGUUGAGUAGCUGAGGUACUGGGAAGACCAAAGUGUGGGGGCUUUGUGUAUUUGUAAAGAACUUGAAAAGUUGGGGAGGGAGUUGUUUGUAGAGAGCUCGAAGAGAAUGGUGGGGCAUGCCAGCAUUCAGGAGGCAGAGGCAAGCUCUGUGAGUUCGAGGCCAGCCUGGUCUACAAAUCAAGUCCAGGAUAGCCAAGGACAGAGAAACCUUGUCUCGAAAAACCAAAAAAGAAAAGAGAACACUCAAAGAGGGCGAGCCACUACAUGAAAUUUGGAAUGAUGGAAAUUCCAAGCUCUAAUUUACAGCUUGAGGAAGUUUCUUCAUGUUCUCGUGUAUGUGUAUAUAUGACAAGCAGAAACG